AUUGAACGCUGGCGGAAUGCUUUACACAUGCAAGUCGAACGGCAGCACGGGUGCUUGCACCUGGUGGCGAGUGGCGAACGGGUGAGUAAUACAUCGGAACGUACCCAGUUAUGGGGGAUAACUAACCGAAAGGUUAGCUAAUACCGCAUACGCCCUGAGGGGGAAAGCGGGGGACCGUAAGGCCUCGCGUAAUUGGAGCGGCCGAUGUCUGAUUAGCUAGUUGGUGAGGUAAAGGCUCACCAAGGCGACGAUCAGUAGCAGGUCUGAGAGGAUGAUCUGCCACACUGGAACGGAGACACGUGCCAGACUCCUACGGGAGGCAGCAGUGGGGAAUUUUGGACAAUGGGGGAAACCCUGAUCCAGCCAUUCCGCGUGAGUGAAGAAGGCCUUCGGGUUGUAAAGCUCUUUCGGCAGGGAAGAAACGGUCUAGGUUAAUACCUUGGGCUAAUGACGGUACCUGAAGAAGAGGCACCGGCUAACUACGUGCCAGCAGCCGCCGCGG
rnacentral:rRNA from 1 species